AGGCUUAACACAUGCAAGUCGAGGGGCAGCAUGGUCUUAGCUUGCUAAGGCCGAUGGCGACCGGCGCACGGGUGAGUAACACGUAUCCAACCUGCCGUCUACUCUUGGACAGCCUUCUGAAAGGAAGAUUAAUACAAGAUGGCAUCAUGAGUCCGCAUGUUCACAUGAUUAAAGGUAUUCCGGUAGACGAUGGGGAUGCGUUCCAUUAGAUAGUAGGCGGGGUAACGGCCCACCUAGUCUUCGAUGGAUAGGGGUUCUGAGAGGAAGGUCCCCCACAUUGGAACUGAGACACGGUCCAAACUCCUACGGGAGGCAGCAGUGAGGAAUAUUGGUCAAUGGGCGAGAGCCUGAACCAGCCAAGUAGCGUGAAGGAUGACUGCCCUAUGGGUUGUAAACUUCUUUUAUAAAGGAAUAAAGUCGGGUAUGGAUACCCGUUUGCAUGUACUUUAUGAAUAAGGAUCGGCUAACUCCGUGCCAGCAGCCGCGGUAAUACGGAGGAUCCGAGCGUUAUCCGGAUUUAUUGGGUUUAAAGGGAGCGUAGAUGGAUGUUUAAGUCAGUUGUGAAAGUUUGCGGCUCAACCGUAAAAUUGCAGUUGAUACUGGAUAUCUUGAGUGCAGUUGAGGCAGGCGGAAU
rnacentral:rRNA from 1 species